ACCAAAAAUCAAUAAACAGAAAUCAAACAAAAAAUCAAAAUCUUACAAUCCUAAUUGAUUAUCUUACUUUUCAUCUCUUCGUUCGAUAGUUGAGAGAUGGGUGAACCAAUUGCAAGAUCAUCCAUUCUAUUUGAUUCAAGUUCAUCAGUGACUUCCGGUUUUUCUGGCUUCUCAACAUAGCACAUUUUAAUACAACCUUUGGUUCUGCUUGUUGAUUCAAAUUUUGAAACCAGGGUGUUUGUAUCUUAUGAAAGUAUCUGGAAGGACGGGACGACGAUGAUGACAAGAUCCGCAGUAUUCUUCAAGGUGGCUAGAGGGGGGAGUUUCUCUGGCCAAUAGUUUUGAAGGUCUUGGGUUCUCGGAGAAUGUGAAACGCAAAUGUAGAGAAGACAGAGCUAUUUCCGACAGUGUUGACCUUGUUGAUUGUGAAUCUCACGCGCCUGAUUCUCGUCCUCUGGUUCAUGCUUUUUCUUCCGAUUCAAUGGCUAAUAGUACGCCUCAGAGUCCUCACGGUUCUAGAUUGCCGAUCAUCUUCGAU